AAUUUUUAAAGGAAUGUUUGUAAAGAUAGAUUUUUGGGAGGUGAAAUUUGAUUGGAAGGGGAUUGUUAAAAAGGGAAAUAUAAAAAUGGAUCGUAAUUUUUGGGUUAUUUUAAAUAUCUAAUUUAGAACUGGUACGGACAAGGGGAAUCCGACUGUUUAAUUAAAACUAAGCAUUGUGAUGGUUUUGAAUAAAUGAUGACACAAUGUGAUUUCUGCUCAGUGCUCAGAAUGUCAAUAUGAAGAGAUUUAACCAAGCGCGGGGUAAAACAGCGGGGAGUAACUAUGACUCUCUUAAGGUAGCCAAAUGCCUCGUCGUCCAAUUAGCGACGCGCAUGAAUGGAUUAAUGAGAUUCCCACUGUCCCUAAUUACUAUCUAGCGAAACCACAGCCAAGGGAACGGGCUUGGCAAAAUUAAGCGGGGAAAGAAGACCCUGUUGAGCUUGACUUUAUUCUAGAAUUUGUGAAAUGGUGCUCGAGGUAUAGAAUAGGUGGG
rnacentral:rRNA from 1 species